AUACAGAGGGUGCGAGCGUUAAUCGGAAUUACUGGGCGUAAAGCGCGCGUAGGCGGCUUAUUAAGUCAGAUGUGAAAUCCCCGGGCUCAACCUGGGAACUGCAUCUGAUACUGGUAUGCUAGAGUUUUGGAGAGGGAAGUAGAAUUUCAGGUGUAGCGGUGAAAUGCAUAGAGAUCUGAAGGAAUACCAGUGGCGAAGGCGACUUCCUGGCCAAAAACUGACGCUGAGGUGCGAAAGCGUGGGUAGCAAACGGGAUUAGAAACCCUAGUAGUCC
rnacentral:rRNA from 1 species